rnacentral:rRNA from 1 species
GUGAGUGCUUUGGGGUGGGGUGACUGCGUACCUUUUGUAUAAUGGGUCAGCGACUUAUAUUCUGUAGCAAGGUUAACCGUAUAGGGGAGCCGAAGGGAAACCGAGUCUUAACUGGGCGUUAAGUUGCAGGGUAUAGACCCGAAACCCGGUGAUCUAGCCAUGGGCAGGUUGAAGGUUGGGUAACACUAACUGGAGGACCGAACCGACUAAUGUUGAAAAAUUAGCGGAUGACUUGUGGCUGGGGGUGAAAGGCCAAUCAAACCGGGAGAUAGCUGGUUCUCCCCGAAAGCUAUUUAGGUAGCGCCUCGUGAACUCAUCUUCGGGGGUAGAGCACUGUUUCGGCUAGGGGGUCAUCCCGACUUACCAACCCGAUGCAAACUGCGAAUACCGAAGAAUGUUAUCACGGGAGACACACGGCGGGUGCUAACGUCCGUCGUGAAGAGGGAAACAACCCAGACCGCCAGCUAAGGUCCCAAAGUCACAGUUAAGUGGGAAACGAUGUGGGAAGGCUCAGACAGCCAGGAUGUUGGCUUAGAAGCAGCCAUCAUUUAAAGAAAGCGUAAUAGCUCACUGGUCGAGUCGGCCUGCGCGGAAGAUGUAACGGGGCUAAACUGUGCACCGAAGCUGCGGCAGCGACGCUUAUGCGUUGUUGGGUAGGGGAGCGUUCUGUAAGCCUGCGAAGGUGUCCUGUGAGGGAUGCUGGAGGUAUCAGAAGUGCGAAUGCUGACAUAAGUAACGAUAA